AUGGCCUUGAAUGUUUUGUAGAU
rnacentral:snRNA from 1 species